AGGAUGAACGCUGGCGGCGUGCUUAACACAUGCAAGUCGAACGAUGAAGGCUGGAGCUUGCUCUGGCUGGAUUAGUGGCGAACGGGUGAGUAACACGUGAGUAACCUGCCCCCGACUCUGGGAUAAGCGCUGGAAACGGCGUCUAAUACCGGAUACGAGCUUCCGCCGCAUGGUGAGGAGCUGGAAAGAAUUUCGGUCUGGGAUGGACUCGCGGCCUAUCAGCUUGUUGGUGAGGUAAUGGCUCACCAAGGCGACGACGGGUA
rnacentral:rRNA from 1 species